rnacentral:lncRNA from 1 species
UGCUGAGUGCAAAACAAUGAAGGAGGCUAAUAGGAGACAGCAGAAUCAUGAGACAAUGGCAUGUUCAAAGGCCUUCUAGACAAUUGACCCUGUGGUUAAAUAGAUUAAGUCUGAGAAAUGGGUAACAUGUGGUAUUACAUUAUAUUUUGAACAGCCACACUGUAGAGUCGCUGGGAAAGGAGAAAAAAAAAGUUCUCUCUCAACAACAGUUAUCUUCAAUGACUAAACAGUACUUUGUUUAGCAUAACAUUCUUGUCAAGGCACCUAUGUGUUUCAAAUUGCCAUUGUAUUCUAAGGUUUAAUAUUUCUAAUAUGAAUUGUACCAUGUGUUUUUAGUCAAAAUAAUUCACAUUUCUUAUUAUUUGUGACUACUGAGACC